UACGUAGGGACCAAGCGUUGUUCGGAUUUACUGGGCGUAAAGGGCGCGUAGGCGGCAUGACAAGUCACUUAUGAAAUCUCUGGGCUUAACUCAGAACGGCCAAGUGAUACUGUCGCGCUAGAGUGCAGAAAGGGCAAUCGGAAUUCUUGGUGUAGCGGUGAAAUGCGUAGAUAUCAGGAGGAACACCGGUGGCGAAGGCGGUUCUCUGGGCAUUACCUGACGCUGAGGAGCGAAAGUGUGGGGAGCGAACAGG
rnacentral:rRNA from 1 species